rfam:Schistosoma margrebowiei strain Zambia genome assembly, scaffold: SMRZ_scaffold0000011
AUCCAGCUGAAGAGUCCAAAAAUAAAACGAAAAGGAGCGUCCUGAAU